GUUCCUAUAGUUGAAUAUACAACAAUGGUUUUUCAAGCCAUUAGUCUAGGUUUAAGUCCUGGUGGGAGUU
rnacentral:tRNA from 1 species